rnacentral:rRNA from 1 species
UACGAAGGGGGCUAGCGUUGUUCGGAUUUACUGGGCGUAAAGCGCGCGUAGGCGGAUUGUUUAGUCAGGGGUGAAAUCCCGGAGCUCAACUCCGGAACUGCCUCUGAUACUGGCAAUCUUGAGUCCGGGAGAGGUGUAUGGAACUCCUAGUGUAGAGGUGGAAUUCGUAGAUAUUAGGAAGAACACCAGUGGCGAAGGCGAUACACUGGCCCGGUACUGACGCUGAGGCGCGAAAGCGUGGGGAGCAAACAGG